CCCCUCUCGGGGUUGUACCUGGAGAGUUUCCAGUACUCUAGCAGUCUCAUUUACGGGAGGAAGAGUUAAGCAGAGACCUACCCAUUCCAUUCCUAGCUUGGCGAGUGGCUAGCGAGUGAAAGGCAAUCUGCUACAGAU